AGCAACCCGCUGAGUUCCCCUUCCACACUGUGGGGGUUUGUUGUUUCGCCCUUUGCAAUAAAUCUUGCUACUGCUGGCUUUUUGUGUCCAUGCUGCUUUUAUGAGCUGUAACACUCACUGCGAAGAUCUGCAGUGCCUGAAGCCAGCGAGCCCACAAGCUCACUGGGAGGAACGAACAACUCCAGACGCGCUGCCUUAAGAGCUGUAACACUCACAGGGAAGGUCUGCAGCUUCACUCCUGAGCCAGCGAGACUAUGAACCGGGCGGGGCGGGAACACUAGAAGGAAGAAACUCUGAACACAUGCGAACAUCAGAAGGAACAAACUCAAGGCGCGCCACCUUAAGAGCUGUAACACUCACGGUGAGGGUACGCAGCUUCAUUCUUGAAGUCAGUGAGACCAAGAACCCACCAAUUCCGGACACAGAACAACUAAAACCCCUGCAAAUUACAUGUAAAACAAGUUUAAGAGGACUUUGAGAGAUGAAGAAAAGCAGGCAGACCAGCCAGGGACCUUGCAGCCUGAAGAAGGACAGGAAGGCUUAACAACUGCUUGAGGUAUGGAUAUUUGGCAGGAGCCACUCUUUUAGGAGGAGUCACCAACUUGGACCAUGAGUACGAAGACCAUGCCUGAGGGAAAACAAAAGAGGCU